ensembl:lncRNA
AUCAUUCUUUGCGUCUCAGCCAUAUUUCUGUCCAAAUCUGAUUGUUUUUUGCUAAUUCGUUUGAUUGGACAGAAUUGUCUGUAGGGCAAACUAUUUCUCAAAGGAAGUGGGUGACAACUGUCAGCCCUCAACAAACUGUUACGAUCAGUAGGCUUCCUGUAAAGAUCAGGGUAUGGAACAUUAUCUUCACACAAGAUCAGAAGAUCAAGAAAACUGCUUUUUGGGACUCAACCUAAGGGGAACAAACUAGGAGUGAACUUUAAUUUCUCUCAGUAUCCAUGAACGAGGAGGACAAACCAUAUCGUAUCGUCCACUACUACCACAAUACAAUGAUAUUACAAUAUCACAGGCCUGACGGAUUACCAGGAAUUGUACUGAGCAUGUGCAGCAUGUGCUGACGAACUGGUAAGUGUCUUCAAUGACCUCUCCCUAUGCGUAGUCCCUUUAACUCUACCUACCUGUACAUAUUACCUCAAUUACCCUGACUAACUGGUGCCCCCGCACAUUGACUCUGUACCGGUACCCCCUGUAUAUAACCACCACAUUGACUUUGUACCGGUACCCCCUGUAUAUAGUCUCCACAUUGACUCUGUACCGUAACACCCUGUAUAUAGCCUCCACAUUGACUCUGUACCAGUACCACCCUGUAUAUAGCCUCCACAUUGACUCUGUACCAGUACCACCCUGUAUAUAGCCUCCACAUUGACUCUGUACCGGUACCCCUGUAUAUAGCCUCCACAUUGACUCUGUACCGUAACACCCUGUAUAUAGCCUCCACAUUGACUCUGUACCAGUACCACCCUGUAUAUAGCCUCCACACUGACUCUGUACCAGUACCACCCUGUAUAUAGCCUCCACAUUGACUCUGUACCAUACCACCCUGUAUAUAGCCUCCACAUUGACUCUGUACCAGUACCACCCUGUAUAUAGCCUCCACACUGACUCUGUACCAGUACCACCCUGUAUAUAGCCUCCACACUGACUCUGUGGCCGGAACCACCCUGUAUAUAGCCUCCACAUUGACUCUGUACCAGUACCCCCUGUAUAUAGCCUCCACAUUGACUCGGUACAGGUACCCCCUGUAUAUAGCCUCCACAUUGACUCGGUACAGGUACCCCCUGCUGUAUUCGAUGGAGCAUGUGACAAAUAAAAUUGGACAUUACUGAUAUCUCUCUAUAUCUCCUUUGAUGACAUAAUAGUAAGUAAGCAUUUCACUGUAAGGUCUAUUGUUGUAUUUGGCGCAUGUGACAAAUAACAUUUGAUUUGAUACUGUGAGGGUGUAAACCAGGAAUUUGUCAAAUCACUGUAUAAACAUGAUACUGUGAGGGUGUAAACCUGUGUCUGCUUAUACCACUAGCCAUCAUUCCUGAUAACAUCUUGCAUUAGCCGACAAGACAACAUUAAAAAUGGUAGGAUGUUGUACGUUACAUAGCCCACAAUACAGUAUUAAAACUGUAGGCCUGAUGUAUUAUAGUCUACAAUACAGUAUUAAAACUGUAGACCUGAUGUAUUAUAGUCUACAAUACA